rnacentral:tRNA from 1 species
ACAGGGGUGGCCGAGCGGUCAAAAGCGCCGGAUUUAAGCUCCGGUCCCAAAUGGGUUCGAGGGUUCAAAUCCCUCCCCCUGUACCA